AAUUCAGAAUUAAUAUUGUAACAUAGACGUAAAAAAUCUAUAAAACAACUUUUAACAACGGAUCUCUUGGUUCUCGCAUCGAUGAAGAACGUAGCAAAGUGCGAUAACUAGUGUGAAUUGCAUAUUCAGUGAAUCAUCGAGUCUUUGAACGCAACUUGCGCUCAUUGGUAUUCCAAUGAGCACGCCUGUUUCAGUAUCAAAAC
rnacentral:rRNA from 1 species